ACCUCGGAGCUUGCUCCGGGCGAUCAGUGGCGAACGGGUGAGUAACACGUGAGUAACCUGCCCCAGACUCUGGGAUAACAUCGGGAAACCGGUGCUAAUACCGGAUAUGAGACGAGACCGCAUGGUCAUCGUCUGGAAAGAUUUAUCGGUCUGGGAUGGACUCGCGGCCUAUCAGCUAGUUGGUGAGGUAAUGGCCCACCAAGGCGACGACGGGUAGCCGGCCUGAGAGGGCGACCGGCCACACUGGAACUGAGACACGGUCCAGACUCCUACGGGAGGCAGCAGUGGGGAAUAUUGCACAAUGGGCGCAAGCCUGAUGCAGCAACGCCGCGUGGGGGAUGAAGGCCUUCGGGUUGUAAACCCCUUUUAGCAGGGAAGAAGCGAAAGUGACGGUACCUGCAGAAAAAGCGCCGGCUAACUACGUGCCAGCAGCCGCGGUAGUACGUAGGGCGCAAGCGUUGUCCGGAAUUAUUGGGCGUAAAGAGCUCGUAGGCGGUUUGUCGCGUCUGCUGUGAAAGUCCGAGGCUCAACCUCGGAUCUGCAGUGGGUACGGGCAGACUAGAGUGUGGUAGGGGAGACUGGAAUUCCUGGUGUAGCGGUGGAAUGCGCAGAUAUCAGGAGGAACACCAAUGGCGAAGGCAGGUCUCUGGGCCACAACUGACGCUGAGGAGCGAAAGCGUGGGUAGCAAACAGGAUUAGAUACCCUGGUAGUCCACGCCGUANACGGUGGGCACUAGAUGUGGGGCUCUUUCCAUNAGUUCCGCGUCGCAGCUAACGCAUUAAGUGCCCCGCCUGGGGAGUACGGCCGCAAGGCUAAAACUCAAAGGAAUUGACGGGGGCCCGCACAAGCGGC
rnacentral:rRNA from 1 species